UACGUAUGGAGCAAGCGUUAUCCGGAUUUAUUGGGUGUAAAGAGUUCGUAGGCGGACUAGCAAGUUGGUUGUGAAAUCCCCAGGCUUAACUUGGGAACUGCAACCAAAACUAUUAGUCUUGAGUACUGGAGGGGAAAGCGGAAUUCCUAGUGUAGCGGUGAAAUGCGUAGAUAUUAGGAAGAACACCGGUGGCGAAGGCGGCUUUCUGGACAGAAACUGACGCUGAGGAACGAAAGUGUGGGGAGCAAAC
rnacentral:rRNA from 1 species